GUGGGGAAUUUUGGACAAUGGGCGCAAGCCUGAUCCAGCAAUGCCGCGUGCAGGAAGAAGGCCUUCGGGUUGUAAACUGCUUUUGUACGGAACGAAACGGUCCUGGCUAAUAUCCGGGGCUAAUGACGGUACCGUAAGAAUAAGCACCGGCUAACUACGUGCCAGCAGCCGCGGUAAUACGUAGGGUGCGAGCGUUAAUCGGAAUUACUGGGCGUAAAGCGUGGGCAGGCGGUGCUGUAAGACAGGCGUGAAAUCCCCGGGCUCAACCUGGGAAUUGCGAUUGUGACUGCAGUGCUGGAGUGCGGCAGAGGGGGAUGGAAUUCCGCGUGUAGCAGUGAAAUGCGUAGAUAUGCGGAGGAACACCGAUGGCGAAGGCAAUCCCCUGGACCUGCACUGACGCUCAUGCACGAAAGCGUGGGGAGCAAACAGGAUUAGAAACCCUGGUAGUCC
rnacentral:rRNA from 1 species